AGGUAGUACUGUUUUAAAAUCUGUAUUUAAAAUUCAAAACACAUUUCUUUUCUCAGUCUUUUCCUUGACUUUAACUACCUUCUUCUUCUGACCUAUCUUACUUUCUUCUGAGAUAAUGAUAUUGUUUAAUUUUAGCUGUUGGAGCCACUGCUGUGUAUCCUAUCGAUCUUGUAAAAACUCGAAUGCAGAACCAACGAUCAACUGGCUCUUUUGUGGGAGAACUCAUGUAUAAAAACAGCUUUGACUGUUUUAAGAAAGUGCUACGCUAUGAAGGCUUCUUUGGACUGUAUAGAGGUCUGUUGCCACAGUUAUUGGGAGUUGCCCCAGAGAAGGCCAUAAAACUUACAGUGAACGAUUUUGUGAGGGAUAAAUUUAUGCACAAAGAUGGUUCGGUCCCACUUGCAGCAGAAAUUCUUGCUGGAGGCUGCG
rnacentral:sRNA from 1 species